AAGACAGCCUAUACAUUACAAGGUCUUGCUUUUUUAACUUGUCAUACGCGAUAUAUGGUAUCCAUGGACGAAUUGUGGUUUAGGCAAUGACGCUUUUGCAUACAUUUAUUUUCAGUCAUUGAAGUCUUCUCCCUCAAUAGCAUCAUCCAAAUAAGUGCUGAAUUUACUAACAUAUAAUGGAGCGUAAUAGAGAAAUUUUCUUAACAUUUCUUAAAAUUGUUUUUUUCAUAAGCAUUUUAAUGCUGGCAUUGAUUGUCGAUGUCAAGAAAUCGCGUACUUCGUUUAAAAAUUGGUUAAAAGCUGGUGCCAAUUGUGGAAAGUGGAAGUGUGGCCGUUAAAGUUAAUUUAGUACUUAUUUUUCAUUAUGUGAAGACUUUAAUAAAAUGAAUAUAUUUUGAAACAGAAA